ACACCUCAACUCUCAUGGCUUUGCCCAUGAUGAGCUUGGACUUUGGGGGUUUUGCUGGCCUGCAGGUCGGCUCCUCUCAAAUGAAUCAGCUUGCCAGUGUUUGGUGGCAUCACGGGUGUGAUAACUAUCUACGCUUGUGGUUUUCCACCAGAUAACCUUCAGUGAUGGAGGUUCGCUGGGGCUCAUAAAUGUCUCUCCUCGGCGAGGACAGCUCUUUGAAC
rnacentral:misc_RNA from 2 species